AUGGCUGCCUCCUCCACUCAGCCCCUGAACCCUGCUGCUUUACCCUUCGUUCCCGUAGCCUCCGCCCCCUUGAAGCUCUGCCCCCCUGUCUCGUCCUCCCUGCCGGUUGGCUUCCCCCUCCCGCCGCAGUGCUUGCUCCCGCCGCCCUCGCUGCCGCCGCCGUGCGCGUUGUCCGUCCCGCCCUUGCCAUGGGUGCAGGUGCCUCCUCCCCCUCCGUGUCAGGUAACUGUGUACUGCAGCCCGCUAUCGUGUCCGGUGACGGUGUACUGCAUCCCUCCGCCGCCGCAGCCACCGCUGCUAUCGGGGAAGAGCUGCUGCAGCACGGAAACCGUCGACGGCGCCAGCGAUAGGUCCCUGAAGGCCGAGGUGGAAAACCGCCCCUCCCCUCGCUCUGUUCUCUCACCCAGGAGUCCCGCCUCCGUCUCGCCGCGGACGCCGAAGCCGAGGGCGGCCCCUCGGCCUAUGGGCAGCAAACCUGCCUUCGACCCAAGCAGCGGCAAGACAUCUCUCAUGAUCUGCAACAUCCCCAACGGUUUCUCGAAGCGGAGGAUCAUGGCGAUUCUAGACCAGCACUGCGCCGAGGAGAACGAAAAGCUCCGGCGGUGCGUCGGCGGCGGCGGCGAUAAGGCCGUCAAGUCGGAGUACGAUUUCCUCUACGUCCCAAUCGACUUCCGAACGAAGUACAACAAGGGGUACGCCUUCGUAAACAUGACGACGGCGACGGCGGCGCAUCGGCUGCACGAGUUCCUCCACGGCCACUCUUGGGCGGCGACGGGCUCCAAGAAAGUGUGCGAGGUCGUGCACGCAAGCAUCCAGGUACGGUGCUGA
rnacentral:rRNA from 1 species